rnacentral:rRNA from 1 species
CCUACGGGGGGCAGCAGUGGGGAAUAUUGGACAAUGGGGGGAACCCUGAUCCUGCCAUGCCGCGUGUGUGAAGAAGGCCCUCGGGUUGUAAAGCACUUUCAGUGAGGAAGAACGCCUGGUGGUUAAUACCCAUCAGGAAAGACAUCACUCACAGAAGAAGCACCGGCUAACUCCGUGCCAGCAGCCGCGGUAAUACGGAGGGUGCGAGCGUUAAUCGGAAUUACUGGGCGUAAAGCGCGCGUAGGUGGCUUGAUAAGCCGGUUGUGAAAGCCCCGGGCUCAACCUGGGAACGGCAUCCGGAACUGUCAAGCUAGAGUGCAGGAGAGGAAGGUAGAAUUCCCGGUGUAGCGGUGAAAUGCGUAGAGAUCGGGAGGAAUACCAGUGGCGAAGGCGGCCUUCUGGACUGACACUGACACUGAGGUGCGAAAGCGUGGGUAGCAAACAGGAUUAGAUACCCGAGUAGUC